CGGCCUCUAGCUCAGCUGGUAGAGCAACUGACUCUUAAUCAGUAGGUCUUGGGUUCAAACCCCAAGGGGCCGACCA
rnacentral:tRNA from 1 species